rnacentral:lncRNA from 1 species
CAACUUGGCCUUGAACACUGCCAGGGAUGGGGCAGCCACAGCUUUUCUGGGCAACCUGUAUCAGUGUCCCACCACUUCCUAAUGCCUAAUCUAAAUCUAUUGUCUUCCAGUUUAAAACAAUUCCCACUUGUCCUAUCACUACAUGCUCUUGUAAAAAGUCCUUCUCUGGAUUUCUCAUACAUAUCUUGAAUUAUUGUUUAAACAAUAUUCAAGCAUGAUGUUAGUGUCUGAAAGAGGCAAUAUCCUGGUGGUUAAGGAAGUGAGAUGGGAAGAUUUGAAUCUUUUCUAGGAGAGAAGGAAAAGUUAUCCUUGGAUGUUGUACUUUUGGGUGGAUACUGUAACCCCAGACAGUUGCAGCUGUGAGUAGCCUUGCAACACAUGGCCACAUCUUCUUGCUUAUGGCCUUUUUAUUUUGGUUUUGUUUUGUUUUAUUUUGACAGUGAAGGUGAAGCUCUUCACCCAUUAAUGAAGGAAUGUUUAAUUUCUAGAUCUCAAUGGGCUUAGGUAGAUAUUAAGCUAGGUACUAAAAUAACCAGAUUUUUGGACCUAAUAAGCUGAAAUAGAACCAGAGUUUGUAGGAUCUUGGGUCAGAUAGAUGUUCUAAGUGCUUAGCCAAAGUUCUGCUUUAGGUGCCUAAAGCCUCUUUUGGAUGUGGCCUUUUUGCUCUUUCAGUUCAUAACAUUAAAAUGCCAGUUGUUAAUGAAAGGUGAAGGUGCCAUUUGCCUCUGAAGACAGUGAAUAGUCAGUAUUUUGUGCAGAACUGAUACAGCGUAGGCACUAUAACAAAUUCAGACAAAAGGAUUUGUUUUCCUCAUAAGGUGUUGCUGCCAAGUCUUUGAGAUCUUCCUGAGAAGGAAGCAUGUGUAACACCAACAACCAUCAUGUAGGGAGGAGAGGAGAUUGAAUGUGCCCAAUCAAAAUGUAUACAUAAAGGACGUAGAGUGUAAUUAUUGACACGUUUUGGUGUAGUUUAAUUUGCUAAAUUCAUUAGUUGCUAAAGUUGCUGACAGUUCUCUCUAGAUCUGGUAUGUAAAUGUGGACACAGCUCAGUGAAAAGAUUAUGAUGAUUAAUUCUUUGUUGCAAAUACUACUUUUCUAGUGAUGUAGACUACCUUCUGCUCUAAGGUGAUAUCAUACUUUUUAGCUGUACAAUAAAUAGAAUUGACAAGUAAUUUGCAAAUGAAAAAUGUUUACAGAAAUAUGCACUUCUAUGACAUUCUUUGGGAGAGAAAAACUAUAUAUUUGACAGAGUCUUGGAAUUGAUAUUGCUAUAUGCUGUAUUUUAAUCUAUUCACAAUGAAUAAAUAAAAAUCUGUAUUUUUAAAAAAUGUGAAAGUAAAUCUGAGGCUCAGCCUGCCAGAACUUACCCAGGUUCAGUGUUUCCAGAUGGCAGUGGGAAUAUUGCCUGGGUAAGGACAGCGAGGUGGAAGCCUUUGUUUGUAUGUCAGACAUGCAAAUACCAAUUGCCUGCAUCGCUUAGUCCUCUCAUUGGCUUUGUCUGGUUUCAUUCUGGCUGGUCAAUAAAGCUGUUCUUUUUGUUA